ensembl:snoRNA
AUGGCUUUAAGAGGCAAAUACACACAGAAAGGUAAAGAAACUCUCCAUAAAACCCAUGGAAAAGACUGUACACCUCCUCCUUGGAUUCUUUCUAGAGUCACAGAU